rnacentral:misc_RNA from 1 species
GAUGAAGAACGUAGCGAAAUGCGAAAAGUAAUGUGAAUUGCAGAAUUCAGUGAAUCAUCGAAUCUUUGAACGCACAUUGCGCCCUUUGGUAUUCCAAAGGGCAUGCCUGUUCGAGCGUCAUUUGUACCCUCAAGCUUUGCUUGGUGUUGGGCGUCUUGUCUCUAGCUUUGCUGGAGACUCGCCUUAAAGUAAUUGGCAGCCGGCCUACUGGUUUCGGAGCGCAGCACAAGUCGCACUCUCUAUCAGCAAAGGUCUAGCAUCCAUUAAGCCUUUUUUUCAACUUUUGACCUCGGAUCAGGUAGGGAUACCCGCUGAACUUAAGCAUAUCAAUAAGCGGAGGA